GCCUGUAAUAGCUGCUCUUCUUGUUCCAUUUGAAUUAAUAGAAACAACGCUAUCGCCUUUCUUGUUCUCAUAGAAUCAUAUGAUAUGAGCUCCAUGUUUUGUGAACGUCUUUCUUAACUGUCGUAUUAGACUGACCAGUGCAUAUCGCGCAUGGCACUUUAAAUAUAUUUUAGCGCGAAAAUUAACUUACAUUUAGCUGGAUGUAUUGCCGUCGUAGUUCCAUCUUGUCGCCUUCGUACUUUUAUUCGAUGGCAACACGACGGGAUUACGAGGUCUUCACGAAGUCGUGUUGCCAUCGUAAGACCUUCGGGUAGCUUCGUGAUUCAUUCGUGUAGACGUCGUAAUGUCAAAACUGCCCGAUG
rnacentral:lncRNA from 1 species